GAUGAAGAACGUAGCGAAAUGCGAUAAGUAGUGUGAAUUGCAGACUUUAGUGAAUCAUCGAAUCUUUGAACGCACAUUGCGCCCCUUGGUAUUCCAUUGGGCAUGCCUGUUCGAGCGUCAUUUACACCCUCAAGCCUAGCUUGGUGUUGGGCGUUGUCCGCAAGGACUCGCCUCAAAUUCAUUGGCAGCGGCAUCGUCAGCUUUUCGCGCAGCACAUUGCGCUUCAGAAGGCUUCUGGCGGGCUCGCGUCCACUAAGAUACCACCCAGUUUGACCUCGAAUCAGGUAGGGAUACCCGCUGAACUUAAGCAUAUCAAUAAGCGGAGGA
rnacentral:misc_RNA from 1 species